rnacentral:rRNA from 1 species
GAUGAACGCUGGCUACAGGCUUAACACAUGCAAGUCGAGGGGAAACGUCGGGGAAUCUUGCUUCUCCGGGUGUCGACCGGCGCACGGGUGAGUAACGCGUAUCCAACCUGCCUCUGACUGAUGGCUAACCCGUCGAAAGUCUGCCUAAUACCUCUUUGCAUCGUCUGCUGGCAUCCAACGACGAUUAAAGUUUUCUUUGGUCAGGGAUGGGGUUGCGUCUGCUUAGCUUGUUGGCGAGGUAACGGCCCACCAAGGCUACGAUCAGUAGGGGUUCUGAGAGGAAGGUACACCACAUUUGAGAUGAGACACAGACCAAACUCGUACGGGGGGGAGGAGUGAGGAAUAUUGGGCGAUGGGGGGGGACCGGAACAAGCCAAGUGGGGGACAGGAGGACGGCCAUAGGGGUUGUAAACUGCUAUUGUGCGGGGAUAAAGUGAGGGACGUGGCCUUCAUUGCAGGUACCGAAUGAAUAAGGACCGGCUAAUUCCGUG